UGGCUCUGGCAUCGAUGAAGAACGCAGCGAAAUGCGAUAAGUAAUGCGAAUUGCAGAUUUCAGUGAGUCAUCGAAUCUUUGAACGCACAUUGCGCCCCUUGGUAUUCCGGGGGGCAUGCCUGUUCGAGCGUCAUUAUCACCCCUCAAGCGUAGCUUGGUAUUGGGGCCUGCCUGGGAACGGGCAGCCCUUAAAAGCAGUGGCGGUGCCUUUAGGCUCUACGCGUAGUAAUUCACCUCGCUAUGGAGUCCUCGAGACACCUGCCAGAACCCCCCAUUUUCUAUGAUUGACCUCGGAUCAGGUAGGGAUACCCGCUGA
rnacentral:misc_RNA from 1 species